rnacentral:rRNA from 1 species
ACGGAUAUUAGCUUGCUAAUAUUGUCAGCUAAGUGGCGCACGGGUGAGUAAUAUAUAGUUAAUCUGCCCCAAAGAAGAGAAUAAUUGUUGGAAACGACUUGUAAUGCUCUAUAUGCCUUUAUUACAUAAGUAAGCAAGGGAAACAUUUAUGGCUUUGGGAUGAGACUGUACGGUAUCAGCUAGUUGGUGAGGUAAUGGCUCACCAAGGCUAUGACAUCUAACUGGUUUGAGAGGAUGAUCAGUCACACUGGAACUGAGACACGGUCCAGACUCCUACGGGAGGCAGCAGUGGGGAAUAUUGCACAAUGGAGGAAACUCUGAUGCAGCAACGCCGCGUGGAGGAUGACACAUUUCGGUGCGUAAACUCCUUUUAUAUGAGAAGAUAAUGACGGUAUCAUAUGAAUAAGCACCGGCUAACUCCGUGCCAGCAGCCGCGGUAAUACGGGGGGUGCAAGCGUUACUCGGGAUCACUGGGCGUAAAGAGCAUGUAGGCUGGUUUGUAAGUUGGAAGUGAAAUCCUAUGGCUUAACCAUA